rnacentral:lncRNA from 1 species
GUUUCUUUUCUUUUUUAAUUCUCAGCAAAAAUUGUAAGAGUUUGCGUAGGGCUAGCGGCGGGGGCGUCAUGCUAGAGUGGUAGACAUGAACUCUAUGGUUAGGGUAGGACGUCGUGGGAGGUUGGUGAGACAGUGAUCCUAUGUGAGGUGCCGACUAUGGGUGCUCGAAGCCCAAUAGAGAGCAGCAACUGAGCAUGAGGCAGUGGACCAAGCAAUAGCAGG